UACGGGGGGGGCAAGCGUUGUUCGGAAUUACUGGGCGUAAAGGGUUCGUAGGUGGCUUGCUAAGUCAGACGUGAAAUCCCUCAGCUUAACUGGGGAACUGCGUCUGAUACUGGCGAGCUUGAGUGCAGGAGAGGAACGCAGAAUUCCAGGUGUAGCGGUGAAAUGCGCAGAUAUCAGGAAGAACACCCGUGGCGAAGGCGGCUCUCUGGGACGGUACUGACGCUGAGACGCGAAAGCGUGGGGAGCGAACAGG
rnacentral:rRNA from 1 species